rnacentral:rRNA from 1 species
GCUAGAAGCGGGACGGUAGCCGCGGUAAUCUGUAGGGGGCUAGCGUUGUCCGGAUUGAUUGGGGGUAAAGAGCGUGUAGGCGGCCAGGUAGGUCUGGUGUUAAAACUCGAGGCGUAACCUCGGGAUGUCAUCGGAAACCAUUUGGCUAGAGUCCGGAAGAGGUGAGUGGAAUGCCUGGUGGAGCGGUGAAAUGCGCAGAUAUCAGGAAGAACACCAAGGGCGAAAGAAGCUCUCUGGGACGGUACUGACGCUGAGACGCGAAAGCGUGGGGAGCGAACAGGAUUAGAUACCCGAGUAGUC